AGCAGUCGCCGCGGGAAUACGAAGGGUGCAAGCGUUACUCGGAAUUACUGGGCGUAAAGCGUGCGUAGGUGGUUGUUUAAGUCUGCUGUGAAAGCCCUGGGCUCAACCUGGGAAUUGCAGUGGAUACUGGGCAACUAGAGUAAGGUAGAGGAUAGUGGAAUUUCCGGUGUAGCAGUGAAAUGCGUAGAGAUCGGAAGGAACAUCUGUGGCGAAGGCGACUAUCUGGGCCAUUACUGACACUGAGGCACGAAAGCGUGGGGAGCAAACAGGAUUAGAUACCCCGGUAGUCCCUGUCUCUUAUAC
rnacentral:rRNA from 1 species